rnacentral:rRNA from 1 species
UCCUACGGGGGGCUGCAGUUGGGAAUAUUGGACAAUGGGGGAAACCCUGAUCCAGCAAUGCCGCGUGGGUGAUGAAGGCCUUCGGGUUGUAAAGCCCUUUUGGCGGGGACGAUGAUGACGGUACCCGCAGAAUAAGCCCCGGCUAACUUCGUGCCAGCAGCCGCGGUAAUACGAAGGGGGCUAGCGUUGUUCGGAAUUACUGGGCGUAACGGGCGCGUAGGCGGUUGUGCAAGUCAGAUGUGAAAGCCCUGGGCUCAACCCAGGAUGUGCAUUUGAUACUGCACGACUAGAGUGUCGGAGAGGAUGGUGGAAUUCCCAGUGUAGAGGUGAAAUUCGUAGAUAUUGGGAAGAACACCGGUGGCGAAGGCGACCAUCUGGACGACAACUGACGCUGAGGCGCGAAAGCGUGGGGAGCAAACAGGAUUAGAUACCCGAGUAGUCCCC